rnacentral:tRNA from 1 species
GCCGGCAAGCUCAGUUGGGAGAGCGUUAGACUGAAGUUGUUUACGCAACAAUAAUCUAAAGGCAUCGAUUCAAUCCCGGGUUCCGGCA